rnacentral:misc_RNA from 1 species
UACAGAGGGUGCGAGCGUUGUUCGGAAUUACUGGGCGUAAUGCGCGCGUAGGUGGUCUUUUAAGUCUCACUGUGAAAUUCCGGAGCUCAACUCCGGGGCUGCAGGGGAUACUGGAGGACUGGAGACAGGUAGAGGCGAGCGGAAUUCCGGGUGUAGCGGUGGAAUGCGUAGAGAUCCGGAAGAACACCAGAGGCGAAGGCGGCUCGCUGGGCCUGAUCUGACACUGAGGCGCGAAAGCGUGGGGAGCGAACAGG